GGGACGCGGCUUCCCCGAGGGUCCUGCGUCCCCCCCCGACGGUCCCCUUGCUCCUCCCUCCGCAGAGGCCGUUUCCCUCCCAACCUCGCACUCACCUGCUCGGGUCAGGGCCAGGGCCCCCGAGAGCAGCAGCAGGAGGAUCUGGGACGCCAUGACCCUGAACACUGGAUUCAGGGGAGACUGAGUUCUGGCAGGUUCGUUCGGACCUUACAGCCAGGAACCGAGGAGACACUGAUUGGCUACUGCAGAAACCAGACACUCAAUGGGAGUGAGAACUGGCGUCUCGUCAUGUGCGUCCGGGCAAAAAGAAGUGACACAGGUUGUGAGAGCGAGAAAGCGAGACUCCCGGGAGAUGGGGAAUCCUCAGCGCUGGGCUUUCUCACUGCGGACACCGCCCUCCGGGCCUGAGAGCCAAGCCCGGGUAUUAGGACUUUGUCCUGAUCCCUCUCCUCCUAUACCCACCACUCUGUCACACUAGCUCCCUGAGUCCUACCCUAGGCUGUCUGAGGAAACCGGGGAGAGACCCCCAGGCUGGGGCCAGGCCUUUUCUUCCUCUUCCCUUCUUGGAAUGCCUUUCGCUGAACUGGACUCCCUACCUCCCACCCGUUUCUUCUGCCCACUGGACUCCUCUAGAAGAAAAUUCACCCGCAAAGGACUUCAUGCCAGAGAUUCUGUAUGUCAGCUGUCCAGGCGUGGUGUGGAUGGAUUCUCUGAACAGGGUUUCGCAAACUUGUGCUCUCAUCUGGAACUCAGGAUUCUCCUCCAAGCUCCUACAGAGGUCAACUGAUUUGGACCUUUCUUACAUCUGCAAAAUCUCUUCACAGCAGCAGGUCCAUUGGUGUUUGAUUGAAUAACUAGGGGAAGAUGAAUAACCAGAAGAUCAAUUCAUAUCAUGGGGGCCAUCUUGGAAUCCGCUCAGCAUGGCCUGGUGUUUCCUUUUGUGUUUUUUUUGGUUACAAUUGGAAAUAGAAGUUCAAGUAAAUAGCUUGUUGUGAUUGGUAAUAAAAUACAAUCUGUUGACUUAGCCUUGAAAUUAUUCUUAAAUUUGAAAAUCAAGUAAUGAUACAUUUAAUGUCUCAUAGCUAAUUUAGAGCAAAUCAAAAUUAACAUGCAAUAAUUUCUUAUCGUCUUUGGACACAGUAUUAGUUAUCUGCUUUUGCCUAACAAAUUCCCCCAAACUUAGCAACUAAAGGCAAUAAACAUUUUUCUUCCAGUUUCCAAGGGUCAGUAAUCAGGGAAGUUUACCUGAGUGUUUGUGGUUCAGCGCCUCUCAAGAAAUUAUAGCCGAGACGUCGGCCAGGGCUGCAUCAUCUGAAGGCUUGGCUGGGGCUGGGGCUGCAGCAUCAGCAUCUGAUAUGGCUCACUCGUGGCUGUUGAGAGAGGCCUCAGUUCCUCAAUGGCUGGUCCCAGGAGGUGUAUGAUAUAGCAGCUGGCUUCCGCCAGAGCAAGUGAUCUGAGAGAGAGUCCAAGAUGGAAAUCACAAUGUGUUUUGUCUCCUAGACUCAGAGAUAAAACUCUAUUCCUAAGACCAGUCUACACUUAAGAGGAGAGAAUUAAGCUCCACCUUUUGAUGGGAAGAGGAUCAAAGAAUUAUAUGUUAAAACCAAAAUUAAAAUUAAGUAUCAUUUCAGGAUUUUGUAAAUCAAAUGCUGCUUUUUAUCUAAUUAUUGUUCUUUACUGCUUCAUGUUUAAAAAAAAGUAAUGAUUAAAAGUU